CCUACGGGAGGCAGCAGUGAGGAAUAUUGGUCAAUGGACGCAAGUCUGAACCAGCCAUACCGCGUGCAGGAAGACGGCUCUAUGAGUUGUAAACUGCUUUUGUACGAGGGUAAACGCAGAUACGCGUAUCUGUCUGAAAGUAUCGUACGAAUAAGGAUCGGCUAACUCCGUGCCAGCAGCCGCGGUAAUACGGAGGAGUCAAGCGUUAUCCGGAUUUAUUGGGUUUAAAGGGUGCGUAGGAGGUCGGAUAAGUUAGAGGUGAAAUCCCGAGGCUCAACUUCGGAAUUGCCUCUGAUACUGUUCGGCGAGAGAGUAGGUGCGGUAGGCGGAAUGUAUGGUGUAGCGGUGAAAUGCUUAGAGAUCAUACAGAACACCGAUUGCGAAGGCAGCUUACCAAGCUACUUCUGACGUUGAGGCACGAAAGCGUGGGGAGCAAACAGGAUUAAAUACCCCUGUAGUC
rnacentral:rRNA from 1 species